rnacentral:rRNA from 1 species
UAGCAGGGGGGGCAAGCGUUGUUCGGAAUUACUGGGCGUAAAGGGCUCGUAGGUGGCCAACUAAGUCAGACGUGAAAUCCCUCAGCUUAACUGGGGAACUGCGUCUGAUACUGGAUGGCUUGAGUUUGGGAGAGGGAUGCGGAAUUCCAGGUGUAGCGGUGAAAUGCGUAGAUAUCCGGAGGAACACCAGCGGCGAAGGCGGCAUCCUGGACUGGUACUGACGCUCAGGAGCGAAAGCGUGGGGAGCGAUCCGG